rnacentral:rRNA from 1 species
UUUCUGGUUGAUCCUGCCGGACCUGACUGCUAUCGGAUUGAUACUAAGCCAUGCGAGUCGUUGUAGCAAUACAAGGCAUACGGCUCAGUAACGCGUAGUCAACCUAACCUAUGGACGGGAAUAACCUCGGGAAACUGAGAAUAAUGCCCGAUAGAACAUUAUGCCUGGAAUGGUUUAUGUUCCAAAUGAUUUAUCGCCAUAGGAUGGGACUGCGGCCUAUCAGUUUGUUGGUGAGGUAAUGGCCCACCAAGACUAUUACAGGUACGGGCUCUGAGAGGAGUAGCCCGGAGAUGGGUACUGAGACACGGACCCAGGCCCUAUGGGGCGCAGCAGGCGAGAAAACUUUGCAAUGUGCGAAAGCACGACAAGGUUAAUCCGAGUGAUUUCUGCUAAAGAGAUCUUUUGUUAGUCCUAGAAACACUAACGAAUAAGGGGUGGGCAAGUUCUGGUGUCAGCCGCCGCGGUAAAACCAGCACCUCAAGUGGUCAGGAUGAUUAUUGGGCCUAAAGCAUCCGUAGCCGGCUCUGUAAGUUUUCGGUUAAAUCUGUACGCUCAACGUACAGGCUGCCGGGAAUACUGCAGAACUAGGGAGUGGGAGAGGUAGACGGUACUCGGUAGGAAGUGGUAAAAUGCUUUGAUCUAUCGAUGACCACCUGUGGCGAAGGCGGUCUACCAGAACACGUCCGACGGUGAGGGAUGAAAGCUGGGGGAGCAAACCGGAUUAGAUACCCGGGUAGUCCCAGCUGUAAACUAUGCAAACUCAGUGAUGCAUUGGCUUGUGGCCAAUGCAGUGCUGCAGGGAAGCCGUUAAGUUUGCCGCCUGGGAAGUACGUACGCAAGUAUGAAACUUAAAGGAAUUGGCGGGGGAGCACCACAAGGGGUGAAGCCUGCGGUUCAAUUGGAUUCAACGCCGGA